CGUACAUAUCACGUUCAAACACCGAUUCUCGUCCGAUCACCGAAGUUAAACAACGUUAAGCUUGGUCAGUACCUAGAUGGGUGACCGUUCUGGAAU